UUAAGCGACUAAGCGUACACGGUGGAUGCCCUGGCAGUCAGAGGCGAUGAAGGACGUGCUAAUCUGCGAUAAGCGUCGGUAAGGUGAUAUGAACCGUUAUAACCGGCGAUUUCCGAAUGGGGAAACCCAGUGUGUUUCGACACACUAUCAUUAACUGAAUCCAUAGGUUAAUGAGGCGAACCGGGGGAACUGAAACAUCUAAGUACCCCGAGGAAAAGAAAUCAACCGAGAUUCCCCCAGUAGCGGCGAGCGAACGGGGAGGAGCCCAGAGCCUGAAUCAGUGUGUGUGUUAGUGGAAGCGUCUGGAAAGGCGCGCGAUACAGGGUGACAGCCCCGUACACAAAAAUGCACAUGCUGUGAGCUCGAUGAGUAGGGCGGGACACGUGGUAUCCUGUCUGAAUAUGGGGGGACCAUCCUCCAAGGCUAAAUACUCCUGACUGACCGAUAGUGAACCAGUACCGUGAGGGAAAGGCGAAAAGAACCCCGGCGAGGGGAGUGAAAGAGAACCUGAAACCGUGUACGUACAAGCAGUGGGAGCACAGAGCAAUCUGUGUGACUGCGUACCUUUUGUAUAAUGGGUCAGCGACUUAUAUUCUGUAGCAAGGUUAACCGAAUAGGGGAGCCGAAGGGAAACCGAGUCUUAACCGGGCGUUAAGUUGCAGGGUAUAGACCCGAAACCCGGUGAUCUAGCCAUGGGCAGGUUGAAGGUUGGGUAACACUAACUGGAGGACCGAACCGACUAAUGUUGAAAAAUUAGCGGAUGACUUGUGGCUGGGGGUGAAAGGCCAAUCAAACCGGGAGAUAGCUGGUUCUCCCCGAAAGCUAUUUAGGUAGCGCCUCGUGAAUUCAUCUCCGGGGGUAGAGCACUGUUUCGGCAAGGGGGUCAUCCCGACUUACCAACCCGAUGCAAACUGCGAAUACCGGAGAAUGUUAUCACGGGAGACACACGGCGGGUGCUAACGUCCGUCGUGAAGAGGGAAACAACCCAGACCGCCAGCUAAGGUCCCAAAGUCAUGGUUAAGUGGGAAACGAUGUGGGAAGGCCCAGACAGCCAGGAUGUUGGCUUAGAAGCAGCCAUCAUUUAAAGAAAGCGUAAUAGCUCACUGGUCGAGUCGGCCUGCGCGGAAGAUGUAACGGGGCUAAACCAUGCACCGAAGCUGCGGCAGCGACACUGUGUGUUGUUGGGUAGGGGAGCGUUCUGUAAGCCUGUGAAGGUGUGCUGUGAGGCAUGCUGGAGGUAUCAGAAGUGCGAAUGCUGACAUAAGUAACGAUAAAGCGGGUGAAAAGCCCGCUCGCCGGAAGACCAAGGGUUCCUGUCCAACGUUAAUCGGGGCAGGGUGAGUCGACCCCUAAGGCGAGGCCGAAAGGCGUAGUCGAUGGGAAACAGGUUAAUAUUCCUGUACUUGGUGUUACUGCGAAGGGGGGACGGAGAAGGCUAUGUUGGCCGGGCGACGGUUGUCCCGGUUUAAGCGUGUAGGCUGGUUUUCCAGGCAAAUCCGGAAAAUCAAGGCUGAGGCGUGAUGACGAGGCACUACGGUGCUGAAGCAACAAAUGCCCUGCUUCCAGGAAAAGCCUCUAAGCAUCAGGUAACAUCAAAUCGUACCCCAAACCGACACAGGUGGUCAGGUAGAGAAUACCAAGGCGCUUGAGAGAACUCGGGUGAAGGAACUAGGCAAAAUGGUGCCGUAACUUCGGGAGAAGGCACGCUGAUAUGUAGGUGAAGUCCCUCGCGGAUGGAGCUGAAAUCAGUCGAAGAUACCAGCUGGCUGCAACUGUUUAUUAAAAACACAGCACUGUGCAAACACGAAAGUGGACGUAUACGGUGUGACGCCUGCCCGGUGCCGGAAGGUUAAUUGAUGGGGUCAGCGCAAGCGAAGCUCUUGAUCGAAGCCCCGGUAAACGGCGGCCGUAACUAUAACGGUCCUAAGGUAGCGAAAUUCCUUGUCGGGUAAGUUCCGACCUGCACGAAUGGCGUAAUGAUGGCCAGGCUGUCUCCACCCGAGACUCAGUGAAAUUGAACUCGCUGUGAAGAUGCAGUGUACCCGCGGCAAGACGGAAAGACCCCGUGAACCUUUACUAUAGCUUGACACUGAACAUUGAGCCUUGAUGUGUAGGAUAGGUGGGAGGCUUUGAAGUGUGGACGCCAGUCUGCAUGGAGCCGACCUUGAAAUACCACCCUUUAAUGUUUGAUGUUCUAACGUGGACCCGUGAUCCGGGUUGCGGACAGUGUCUGGUGGGUAGUUUGACUGGGGCGGUCUCCUCCUAAAGAGUAACGGAGGAGCACGAAGGUUGGCUAAUCCUGGUCGGACAUCAGGAGGUUAGUGCAAUGGCAUAAGCCAGCUUGACUGCGAGCGUGACGGCGCGAGCAGGUGCGAAAGCAGGUCAUAGUGAUCCGGUGGUUCUGAAUGGAAGGGCCAUCGCUCAACGGAUAAAAGGUACUCCGGGGAUAACAGGCUGAUACCGCCCAAGAGUUCAUAUCGACGGCGGUGUUUGGCACCUCGAUGUCGGCUCAUCACAUCCUGGGGCUGAAGUAGGUCCCAAGGGUAUGGCUGUUCGCCAUUUAAAGUGGUACGCGAGCUGGGUUUAGAACGUCGUGAGACAGUUCGGUCCCUAUCUGCCGUGGGCGCUGGAGAACUGAGGGGGGCUGCUCCUAGUACGAGAGGACCGGAGUGGACGCAUCACUGGUGUUCGGGUUGUCAUGCCAAUGGCACUGCCCGGUAGCUAAAUGCGGAAGAGAUAAGUGCUGAAAGCAUCUAAGCACGAAACUUGCCCCGAGAUGAGUUCUCCCUGACCCUUUAAGGGUCCUGAAGGAACGUUGAAGACGACGACGUUGAUAGGCCGGGUGUGUAAGCGCAGCGAUGCGUUGAGCUAACCGGUACUAAUGAACCGUGAGGCUUAACCUU
rnacentral:rRNA from 1 species